rnacentral:lncRNA from 10 species
CUGGACUCUACUUCCAACUGCUGGAAAAACAAAGGGAGACGCCCAGGCUCUCCCCAGCCGGGCGCCCAGGCCGCCAAGAGGCCCCUGCCCCGCUCUGCAGCCCCAGGCUCUGUAGGCUGCGACAACAAGGAGCAUUGAAGAGGAGUCUCAGGGGAGGGCGCAGGGAGACCCGGCCCAGGGAGCCACGGGGAAGGGACGGACGGUCUGGGGACGGCUGGGAUCCAGCUCCGAGGAGGUGCCGAUGUUGACUUUUCUGGACCAAUUAGGUCAAGGUCCUUCAAGCCGCCACGGUUAACUCCGGAGCUUUUCACGGUUCUUUUUCCUAUUUCCCCUUCCAGGGGGAGGCGGGCUCCACGCGCCCUCGGAGUAGGUCUAAGCAGGACGGGGCUUCCCAGGAGUGCACAAGGGUGCGAGUUCUGAUGCCAGAGGCUGUGCGGGAGGGGAGGGCAGGAGGGGGUGAUGGGCAUGAGCGUGGCCCCUCGGCCCCAACUUUGGGGGCAUCUUCCUGACUUUGGGGGCAUUGGCCCCCGCCCAGCCCAUGCCCGUGCCAUGCCUGCUGCCCAACUGUCCGUCCCCAGGCCUGCGUCUCCUCUGCUGUCCACGUCCUCUCUUCAAGAAUCAAGCGGGGCACUAUGUUCCAGGGAAGCUCCGUCCCCCAGCUGAAUGGCGCUCCGGACAGCUCCACACAAUCCCCUCUCUGUGGGAGCCUCUGUGUAGAGGCUUCCCCUUCCCACUGGACAUCAGCGCCGGGAGGUGCUGAUCUCCAAGGUCCCAGCAGGAGCCCAGAGGUGGUCCUGAGCCCAGGCCUCCUGCUCCCGACACAGCUGGACGGUUCUGAACCCAGGUCUCCCACUCGUGACACAACUGGACACGCUCCCUGAACUGGACGCGCUGCCUGACCUUUUUUCCCCAGUGCUUUGCAGUCUUGGGGGAGGAAAGUAAAACUCUAGCCUCCUUCUCACACGUGUGUGCUUUGGGGCUGCUCUCAGAUGGCCCUAUGUUUGUUUUGAGCAAGGCGAGGUCCAACUUCCUGGAGGCCGAUCAUUUCUCCUGGGGGAAGGGAGGAACUGACUUAUGUUCAAAAAUUGUGCACAAAUUCCCGCGGCGAAAGGCCCCUUGCCUGCAUACCCUUGGCUCCCAGCAGGCAGCACGGGCCACUUCAUGGGGCUUUCUCCCUCACAUGAAGGGGAGAUGGAGGAGCUGGCUCGGGCCCAGCCUUGCCAGCCCCAGCUGAACCACUUCAGAGAGCCAUUAACCUCUGCAAAACGGAGUGGACAACUUCCACGUGGCUUUCUGUAGAAAUCAGAUGGGACUGCAAGCAAUGGCACGGCCCCUGCCAAGGUGGAUCUUGGAGCCUCCAGAAGAGACAUGGGCAGAGACCUCCCUGGUCUUCCUGCAGCUCCUGCCCUGGAACCUGAGUCUCCCAGGCAUCUGACCAGCUGCACUCCACCACCAGAAGCCGGUUACCACCGUCCUUCGGGCUUUGUCCUGGAGGGUGCGGGGCUGGUGUGGACCACUCAGUCUGGCAGUGACCACCACCCAGUCAGAGGCACGGCAGAACGCACCUGCUGCACGGACGCUGUUUGAACUUCUUCAAAACGUGGUGCAGUGUUUCCUGAAGACAUUUACCAUCCUUGGCAGUUAAAUACAGCACAGUGUCAAUUACAGGUCCAUCUUCUGUAAGUCUGGGACAGAUUCACAGUAUCUGUGUUUGCACGAGGCUGGGGUUCCGGGUGAGUGGACCGGCUGGAUGGCCCUGCCCAGCCACCCUGACGAGGGCUUUUUAUCUAACCCUGCCCCACCCAGUCCCCGGGGAAUUCCUAAUCAGAUGUGUUCAAAAACUGCUGAACCAAAUAAGGGUCACUUUACUUCCAACAUAAUUUCUAUUUUAAAUGAAUCGUCUACUCUCUCUUGGGAGGCAGAGGUGUUGACUUCUCGGGCAACAGUAUGAACCGGGUGGCUCUAGAACAUUCUGGACCUCAUGGGGGCUCCAGAUCUGUCAGAGAGACCCCUCGGUAAGGAGGAAGGAAGGUAAUGGGGGGUGGAGGGGAGAGCCAUUUGGAGCAGUUGAAGAGCUCCCUCUGCAUUCCAGGGACUCAGGGUGAGGAACUGCCCAUGGUGAGACCACUCCCUGCAGCCCAUCUGCCUGGCCGGCCAUGUGUGCCCCUCUAGAAGGUUCUAGAAAGUUCUGGAAGGCUCAGGCCUCCCAAGGGCCCAAGGUAGUGCUCUGACCAGGCCCAGGUCCCCUGUCCCAUCCACCCUCCACCCAGCAGGCUCCGCUCCUCUGCUCACCGGACACAGAAUCAGUUGGGCAGGGACCACAUCCAGGUCCUGACACUUCGUAAACAUCAUCCAGAUAAUAACACGCUGGAAUGGCAGAGUUUUCCUCUCCGUGGCACCGCCGUGUAACCCUUCAUCCUGGUUCCAAAUUUGCCUGUGCAGCCCUGAAUGCAGACUGCAAACCCCAAACUCAGAUAAAUACGUCUAAACCUUUAAAAAGUGCCCC